UACGUAGGGUGCGAGCGUUAAUCGGAAUUACUGGGCGUAAAGCGUGCGCAGGCGGUUUUGUAAGCCGGAUGUGAAAUCCCCGGGCUUAACCUGGGAAUGGCAUUCGGGACUGCAAGGCUGGAGUGCGGCAGAGGAGACUGGAAUUCCUGGUGUAGCAGUGAAAUGCGUAGAUAUCAGGAGGAACACCGAUGGCGAAGGCAGGUCUCUGGGCUGACACUGACGCUCAUGCACAAAAGCGUGGGGAGCGAACAGG
rnacentral:rRNA from 1 species